rnacentral:lncRNA from 1 species
CUAACAAGAACUGCAGAGCCUCCUGGAUUACCCUCUUCCCACAGCACAGGCAUCAAACAUGCCUUGUGGAUGUGCAUACGUAACAUCUGAAUGGAUGUGCAUCAUAAGUUGAGUCAACAGGCAUUAAGUCUUGCCAUAUACCAUUUCAGGUAGAAGCUUCCAUUCUAGCAAAUAAAGGGAAACUGAAAAAGAGCUAUGCCAAACCAAAUUCUUCAUCAACCACAUCAUGGUCUGAGAAGAUGUGAAAAUCAUUUGACAAAGAUUCUAAAUGGGUGGCAAACUCAAGUACCUACUAUGAGUGAAGCUGGUAGGGCAAGGACUGAAGUGAAC